rnacentral:rRNA from 1 species
CCUACGGGUGGCAGCAGUGGGGAAUAUUGGACAAUGGGCGAAAGCCUGAUCCAGCCAUGCCGCGUGUGUGAAGAAGGCCUUCGGGUUGUAAAGCACUUUCAGUGGGGAAGAAAGCCUUGGGGCUAAUACCCUCGAGGAAGGACAUCACCCACAGAAGAAGCACCGGCUAACUCCGUGCCAGCAGCCGCGGUAAUACGGAGGGUGCGAGCGUUAAUCGGAAUUACUGGGCGUAAAGCGCGCGUAGGCGGUCUGAUAAGCCGGUUGUGAAAGCCCCGGGCUCAACCUGGGAACGGCAUCCGGAACUGUCAGGCUAGAGUGCAGGAGAGGAAGGUAGAAUUCCCGGUGUAGCGGUGAAAUGCGUAGAGAUCGGGAGGAAUACCAGUGGCGAAGGCGGCCUUCUGGACUGACACUGACGCCGAGGUGCGAAAGCGUGGGUAGCAAACAGGAUUAGAUACCCCUGUAGUC